CACACCUGAAUCAAGUGACGCACCUAAAGAAUGAACAAGGUGAGAAGUCUUGUUCAGAAGACAUAAAACAUUGAACCCUCGCCGAAAGGUAAAAUUGGUAGUUAUCCAUAUUUAUCUUUUCAGCAUUCCCUUUUCCCUUAAAUUAUUUACUUUCAUUAAAUGGCUUGUUAGUUAAUCAUGCUAUCUUGAAAAGAAAAUAAAAAUGUUAAAAAUAGUAAGGCCCAUGUGAGUAUGCUCAUAGCAUAAAACCCAUAAGUACAUUCACUGUGGUGGCGUAAAAAUAAAAUAAAUAUAUUCCUGUCCUAUAAAAAUGAAAAUAUAAAAAUAAAUUUAUGAUCCUACCAA
rnacentral:lncRNA from 1 species